rnacentral:rRNA from 1 species
GAAUAUUGGACAAUGGGCGAAAGCCUGAUCCAGCAAUUCCGCGUGAGCGAAGAAGGCCUUCGGGUUGUAAAGCUCUUUCGGCAGGGACGAUAAUGACGGUACCUGCAGAAGAAGCCCCGGCUAACUCCGUGCCAGCAGCCGCGGUAAUACGGAGGGGGCUAGCGUUGUUCGGAAUCACUGGGCGUAAAGCGUGCGUAGGCGGCUACUCAAGUCAGGGGUGAAAGCCUGGGGCUCAACCUCAGAAUUGCCUUUGAAACUAGGUAGCUUGAACACGGGAGAGGUAAGUGGAAUUCCGAGUGUAGAGGUGAAAUUCGUAGAUAUUCGGAAGAACACCAGUGGCGAAGGCGGCUUACUGGACCGUUGUUGACGCUGAGGCACGAAAGCGUGGGGAGCAAACAG